rnacentral:rRNA from 1 species
UUGGGGUUAUAGUGACCAAUGCUCUUGUUUUUUUUGGGGGGAAAACUUUCAAUCUAUUCAUCUUCAAUCAUGGUAGUACAACGAGCACUAGAAAUAAUAAAAAUUACAUAUAGAUCCGUAGACCACCUAGCGACGACUACAAGCACUGAAGCGAGCCGAAGGCGCGCCGCUGUCAUCACCCCUCCAUCGCCGGAGCCGGGCAAACCUUGUUGUAGUAGACAGCCGGGAAGUCGUCGUGCUAAGGCCCCGUAGAACCAACACACCAGAACAGCAACCGCCGCGGAUGAAGUGUGUAGAUCAAAAGAAUCCAACCUGAAAACACGAACGAAGACGAACGACGAACAGAUCCGAACAAAUCCACCAAAAACAGAUCCGUCGGAGACACAACUCCACACGCCCAUCGAUGAUGCAACAUGCAUCACCGGAACCGUCUCGCCUUCCUGAGAAUGACACAAACCCUAGCAAAACUCAAAAAAAGAUCUAAAAACGAAGCCCUCCCACCGGCAAGGGCCGAGAUCCACCCCGCCUCCAUGGCCAUAGGGCCACCGGAGACAGGAUGGACCGGCGCCGGCGCCGGUGAGAGGCAGAAAACUAGGGUUUUUUGGAGGUGGCGGCUAGGUCCAAAGCUGGAGGUUACCUUUUUUGGGGGAAUUGCAGCUAAUGUUCUUAGUGCAGCUUAAUUUACAGCUAGUCCAGCCAGCUCCAGUUCUGGUUUUGUGGAGACCAGUAUCUAGGCACCGGACGAUCCCAGAGCCGUCCGUCCGCUUGGAUCCAUGGCAGCAGGGCGUGCAUCGCCGAAAAAGGCCAAGCAGCACAUGACAUCCAGUUUCUGGGCGCGCGUGGCAUUCACUUGAUCAAUUCGUCUGUUGGUUCCUCUCAGCUCUUGCUCACCAACUCACCAUGAUUUUGUUUCUUCUCGUGUCAGUUCAUCACAGCUCAAGCGCAGCAAAGGCAGCGUACUACUAGCACGAUGCAUGUGUCAUGGUUGGGAGUUGUUGUGUGAAACAGCACACACACGACACGAAGUGUUUGUUUCCACUCGUAGGACAGGCAUGAAAUCGCUGGGUUCUGCCGUCGCUGGGCUGGGUACUACCAGUGGGGAGACGUGGAGUGGUGUGCCUCGCGCUCUGCUCGCCGCAGCACGGCAGCCACGGUAAAAGGUCUUUUUUCUUCCAAAAGAGAGAGAAGCACAACACGGCAGGCAGGGCGGGCAGGGCAGGAACGGCUCUAAGAGCAUCUGUCUCAAGCAGACCCGCAAAAUGCAUUUAAAACAAUUGAAAUAUAAAUUAUUGAUUAGACAUUUCAAAAGAUAUUCAACUUUCAUAACUGCUCCCACUAGUUGGACCAACAUCUUCUCCAUGCCUUCAUUGUUGAUCUGCGCAUUCUUCAUUCUUCUUAUUUUGAUUCUAAAGAAGUAGAUGUUGCUUCCUCUCUAAUUUCUUCUCUAAUUGCACAUGCAGCCGCAUUAUUAGCCUCAAUUCUAAUAACGAGUGCACGAACAUCUAUUAAGUUUUUUUCAAUCAAUAAAUCGAUGUAUUCUUCUUUCCAAUACCAAAAUGAGCACCCACCUUCCUACACACAUGACCAUCUCAAUAAGCUACCAAAAUCGAACCGAAUAGGUCGACAAAGCCGAAUGAAAACAAGAACAUACCACGUCGUUUUUGCAUUUGAAGAAUACCCAUCCGGGGUGUUGCGGCGUGCUAGAUGUUAGCCGCAGCACCGCAUGAGCGGCAUCGGCGAGCUAGCGAGCCGCCAGCCGGCCAGCCGAGUCCUUGCCGACAAACCGACGACGACGGCUAGAGGACGAAACAGUACCCGCAUGCAGCGCUGGGCUUUGUUGGGGUUGUGCGGGGUGCUCCCCGACCAAUACAUGGUUUGGCGCAGCCGCCGGCGGCUGCGACAAACAGCCGCCGAUCUGCAACUUCCCGACCGGCCGAGGCAGGAGGAAGUGGUGGAGGAUAAUCUCGGGCGUGUGGCGGCCCGACGACGGUGGGUGGGGAAAAAAGCGGGCUGAAAUGUCGCCCCCCGCCAACCGCUCCCGCUAUAUACAGGGCACCGACGGGGCGAGGGGGAGAACCUGCGUUUUUUCGACUUGGGGUGGGAAUUUUGCAGCGACCCGCAAAAAUAUUUAC